CCCUAUUACAUGCAAGUCCGAGCGGACAGAAGGGAGCUUGCUCCCGGAUGUUAGCGGCGGACGGGUGAGUAACACGUGGGUAACCUGCCUGUAAGACUGGGAUAACUCCGGGAAACCGGAGCUAAUACCGGAUAGUUCCUUGAACCGCAUGGUUCAAGGAUGAAAGACGGUUUCGGCUGUCACUUACAGAUGGACCCGCGGCGCAUUAGCUAGUUGGUGAGGUAACGGCUCACCAAGGCGACGAUGCGUAGCCGACCUGAGAGGGUGAUCGGCCACACUGGGACUGAGACACGGCCCAGACUCCUACGGGAGGCAGCAGUAGGGAAUCUUCCGCAAUGGACGAAAGUCUGACGGAGCAACGCCGCGUGAGUGAUGAAGGUUUUCGGAUCGUAAAGCUCUGUUGUUAGGGAAGAACAAGUGCAAGAGUAACUGCUUGCACCUUGACGGUACCUAACCAGAAAGCCACGGCUAACUACGUGCCAGCAGCCGCGGUAAUACGUAGGUGGCAAGCGUUGUCCGGAAUUAUUGGGCGUAAAGGGCUCGCAGGCGGUUUCUUAAGUCUGAUGUGAAAGCCCCCGGCUCAACCGGGGAGGGUCAUUGGAAACUGGGAAACUUGAGUGCAGAAGAGGAGAGUGGAAUUCCACGUGUAGCGGUGAAAUGCGUAGAGAUGUGGAGGAACACCAGUGGCGAAGGCGACUCUCUGGUCUGUAACUGACGCUGAGGAGCGAAAGCGUGGGGAGCGAACAGGAUUAGAUA
rnacentral:rRNA from 1 species